rnacentral:rRNA from 1 species
UACGAAGGUCCCGAGCGUUAUCCGGAUUUAUUGGGUUUAAAGGGUGCGUAGGCGGAUUAUUAAGUCAGUGGUGAAAGCCUUCAGCUCAACUGAAGAAUUGCCAUUGAUACUGAUGAUCUUGAGUACGAUUGAGGUAGGCGGAAUGUGUCAUGUAGCGGUGGAAUGCUUAGAUAUGACACAGAACACCGAUUGCGAAGGCAGCUUACUAAGUCGUAACUGACGCUGAUGCGCGAAAGCGUGGGGAGCGAUCCGG